rnacentral:rRNA from 1 species
UACGGGAGGCAGCGGUGGGGAAUAUUGCACAAUGGGCGCAAGCCUGAUGCAGCCAUGCCGCGUGUAUGAAAAAGGCCUUCGGGUUGUAAGGUACUUUUCAGUCGUGAGGAAGGUGUUAAGGUUAAUAACCUUAGCAAUUGACGUUAGCGACAGAAGAAGCACCGGCUAACUCCGUGCCAGCAGCCGCGGUAAUACGGAGGGUGCGAGCGUUAAUCGGAAUUACUGGGCGUAAAGGGCACGCAGGCGGUUAAUUAAGUUGGAUGUGAAAUCCCCGGGCUUAACCUGGGAAUGGCAUUCAAGACUGGUUAGCUAGAGUCUUGUAGAGGGGGUAGAAUUCCAUGUGUAGCGGUGAAAUGCGUAGAGAUGUGGAGGAAUACCGGUGGCGAAGGCGGCCCCUGGACAAAGACUGACGCUCAUGUGCGAAAGCGUGGGGAGCAAACAGGGAUUAGGAUACCC